rnacentral:siRNA from 1 species
GAUAGACCUGACACGUGUCAUGAU